AGUGAGCGCUGGCGGUAGGCCUAACACAUGCAAGUCGAACGGCAGCACAGUAAGAGCUUGCUCUUACGGGUGGCGAGUGGCGGACGGGUGAGGAAUACAUCGGAAUCUACUUUUUCGCGGGGGAUAACGUAGGGAAACUUACGCUAAUACCGCAUACGACCUACGGGUGAAAGCAGGGGAUCUUCGGACCUUGCGCGAUUGAAUGAGCCGAUGUCGGAUUAGCUAGUUGGCGGGGUAAAGGCCCACCAAGGCGACGAUCCGUAGCUGGUCUGAGAGGAUGAUCAGCCACACUGGAACUGAGACACGGUCCAGACUCCUACGGGAGGCAGCAGUGGGGAAUAUUGGACAAUGGGCGCAAGCCUGAUCCAGCCAUACCGCGUGGGUGAAGAAGGCCUUCGGGUUGUAAAGCCCUUUUGUUGGGAAAGAAAAGCAGCAGGUUAAUACCCCGCUGUUCUGACGGUACCCAAAGAAUAAGCACCGGCUAACUUCGUG
rnacentral:rRNA from 1 species